CGGGUGCUCCGUGUCCGUGGGGGUAGAAGACGAAGGACUACUCGAAGACACACGUGACACAGACGAACCUAAUAAAAUAAUAUGUGACGUACAAGACUUGUGUUGAACAAUGAAUGACAUUUUUUUUACACAUUCGAAAAGGAACGAAUGAAUCACUUAGUGGUAGCACUGAAUAUGAAUGCAUAAAAUGCUUGUGGGAAAAUUUAUACAGAAGAAAAUAACAAAGAUUCUGAAGAAAAAUUAUAUUAAAAUGCAAAGCAGAUAAAAGUUUGUAUAUACAUAAUCUUAUUCUUUACAUAUAAUAUGUAUAUAUUAUUAUGUUUCUUAAAUUACCAGAGUGUGUUGUGUGCAUCUGUGCUGACGUCAUAUACUUGGAGGCCGGAGGCUGCGUGGCGGAGGCGUCGUACCAUUUGAGAACGUCCAGUACAGCCUGAGGGUUACUCUUCUGUUCCUGUUUGCUGAUGUUAGACGCCAUCAAGAGACGUGCCCACGCCUCCGGCAUACCCUUCAUAGUAAACAUUAAAACAUUAUCUUAUUGAUAUUCUGUAAAAUGUAUUAUGAAUGUUAGCUGUCAUGCAUUUAUGCGUCGAGUUUAUUUACGGAUACGGACUACGCGAUUUAGGAUUGCUGAGAAAAUAUAUUUUUCAUUAAGUAAAAUAACUAUGAUGGCAUGUCUUAGUAGUUGCUCUAACAUUGAGAUAAUAAACAUUUGUCAUGCACAAAUAACUACGGAUGCUUGAAUAUUUGCAUGUCUUAAUAAGGCUACAGAUAAAAAAAAUAGUGUAUUAAGUAAUAAUUAAAUAUUUAAUUCUUGCUAACCUUAUAUAGUAUAUGAAUUAUAAACUAAUUAUCAUAUUUAACAUAUUUU